GAUAGAGAUCAAUAGGUAUGUACAUCUAAAUUUUAAUUUACAAUUAUUUGAUCUCACCUCUUGCUUUUGACAUUAAAAUUUUUUUAUAUAAUAAAAAUAUGAUUAUAAUUUUUAUGUUUGCAGGGAUCUAAUGUUUCCAUCAACAAGAACAGUGCACAUGACUUUUGAAUUGCGUUGCCGUAUGUACAUAGGAUUCUUGAUAUAGAUUUUUCGAAGCACUACUCUUGUGUGUUGCGUUGCCGUGCUUCUGCUGUGUUUUGUAUAAUUUCGUACGUUGAGCGCAACAUAAACCAACGGUUCGCCCCCUCAACCCCACAGCUAUGAUGAUUCUAUCAUCUAGGUUGUUAUUUUACCGUAUGUCCCUAUAGCAACGGUGUUGCAAUAUACGAAUCACGGAUUACUCUCUUGCCAAAC
rnacentral:lncRNA from 1 species